UACGGGGGGGGCAAGCGUUGUUCGGAAUUACUGGGCGUAAAGGGCGCGUAGGCGGCCUGCUAAGUCGGAUGUGAAAUCCCUCGGCUCAACCGAGGAACUGCAUCCGAUACUGGCGGGCUUGAAUCCGGGAGAGGGAUGUGGAAUUCCAGGUGUAGCGGUGAAAUGCGUAGAUAUCUGGAGGAACACCGGUGGCGAAGGCAGCCCCCUGGGUCAAGAUUGACGCUCAUGCACGAAAGCGUGGGGAGCAAACAGG
rnacentral:rRNA from 1 species